UUUCCCACCCUAGAUGAAGAUGAUCAUUGUACAAAAAAAAAAUAAAAAAUGCUCGCUGUAAAGAUUAGUGGCCAAAAGUGAGGUAGAAUAGCGUGAUAGGCAUCAAUUGAAUUUCUCGAAAUGAUUAAUAUACUACCAGUCCUGGCAAUGACUAAAUCUCUGCAAUUGAACCAAGGAUUAGCUUAUAUUCUUAUCUGAUUUUCUGUUACUUUGCAUAAUCAUUAUGAAUUUAAACUGACACCAUUUUUUUUUUCUUUUCUAUUUUGCCCGGUUCAUUUUGGGGAAUAAUUGUGGUUUCUCAGUUGGAGGCAAUAUUUUGUUCACGAAGGGAUCUGCUAGCGGAGGUGAUCGAUCCUCUAAAAGGGAUAUAGUUGGUGCUCAGAUUGAUCCAAAUAUACUGUUUGCUCAUCAACAGUCCUUCCGAAGUGUGAAUUCCAAGUAAGUCUAUUUGUGUCAGUGUUAUUAGCCUAAUCCAAAUGUAAUUCUUGCUAAGUGAGCAUCAACUUAGAAGUGGAGCAAUUAUGUGGAG